AAUGAAUUAAAGAAUAAGGCCAGGAAUGGCUUGAAGGUUUGCUUACCUAAGUAUGACUUAGCAAAUGUAGCCUGACUGACCACAGAGAGGGGCCUACAACCCCUGCAGAGCUACGAUAAGUAACAAGACAGGAAGGCUGGCACGUAGGCAACAACAAUCAUGAGGCCAGCACAAUGUUAUCUUAUCUCUGACAAAUGGAGAACUCCAAGAAGGAGGUAGCGUAUGGUAAUGAAUUACUGGAAACUAAUGAAUAUGUUAAAACACCUUACAUGAAUAUGUAUGUAUGUAUGCAUAUAUGUUGUCAAACUGACUCCGUCUGGCACGCACAUUUGGAGGAGCGAUCCCCUGUGCGUCCAGCGCUGCAAUAAAGAAUACCUGCUUAAUAGUCAUCCCGGCUAUUGAGUCCUGAUUUCGUCUUUCACGGCAUCAAUUCUGGCACCCCAGAUGGGACCCUCUCUGCUCAGCUGCAGGACCCGCUGAGAACAGGACUCCCUAGGGUACCCCCGGGACCUUCCCGGAGGGACUCCUCGCCUCAUACGGAUCACUGCGGGAGCAGACAAGGACCGUCUAGAAAAUAAGGUAAUCCACUGGAAGAGAAGUGGAACGAACCAUUCCAAGUGCUAUUGACCACUUUCACUGCAAUCAAAGUGAAGGAACUGUCCUCCUGGAUUCACUACUCUCGAGUGAGAAAAAGCUCCAGACAAGCAAUGGACUUCUGAAACCUUUAGGACCCUUAAAACUAAGAUUACAAAAGACGGCUUCGAGUCUUAAGGAAGAUCCCGACUUGAGCAGAGAUGGACCUCCGAAUGUACUGGAUCAGCGAAACUGCGAUUCUGGAAAUCAUUAUUAUGAUCUUCUACAUCACAGCUGGAUGGACAGAGAACUGCACCACCCAUCAAGAUCUAGAUGAUGUCCCUGACCCUGAAGACUGGACCAGGAAUGGAUAUUUGGGCAAUGCAGGUUUGAAUAUCACAUAUAAGAAGACUAAGGUAUACACAGUUUUAAAAAUUGAUGGUCAGAUUAGAAGAGAUUGGGGAAAUUCACGACAAAUACUGUCUUUUGAAAUAAGAGAGAACAGCUUGGUUGUAUAGCAUGUAAAUUUGAUAUGGGUAAUUUCAUGCUAUACAAUGAUGUACCUAAACUACAGAUUGGAAUGGACAUUAAUGUCCUUAAGAAAAUGCUUUCCCACCCAGACAUUAAAAUGUUGCUAAAGAAGAUGAAGGAAGCUUCGAAACAAACAUUAUGGCAAGUCCAGCACAAUACUCUGGAAAUAAAGAAAAUCAUCACAGCCAUCGAGAAAACUGGUGAACACCAUUGGUGGGACAUUUUUUUAAAUACCUCACUAAAAUCUCCAACUGCUGCUCAGUUUUUCAACUUCUUAUUGCAUCCUGUACUAGUGUUGAUUUUUGUAGCCCUACUGCUAACACUUCUCAACAUUUGGUUAUGGUGGAAAGUACGGACUGUUGCUCAACAAGUACAUGUAUUAUGGGCUGUAAACAAAAUUAUGCAAAAGAAUUUGCAAUAGCUUAAAGAAAAGGGGGGAUUGAAUUAAAGAAUAAGGCCAGGAAUGGCUUGAAGGUUUGCUUACCUAAGUAUGACUUAGCAAAUGUAGCCUGACUGACCACAGAGAGGGGCCUACAACCCCUGCAGAGCUACGAUAAGUAACAAGACAGGAAGGCUGGCACGUAGGCAACAACAAUCAUGAGGCCAGCACAAUGUUAUCUUAUCUCUGACAAAUGGAGAACUCCAAGAAGGAGGUAGCGUAUGGUAAUGAAUUACUGGAAACUAAUGAAUAUGUUAAAACUCCUUACAUGAAUAUGUAUGUAUGUAUGCAUAUAUGUUGUCAAACUGACUCCGUCUGGCACGCACAUUUGGAGGAGCGAUCCCCUGUGCGUCCAGCGCUGCAAUAAAGAAUACCUGCUUUAUAGUCA